GAUGAACGCUGGCGGCGUGCCUAAUACAUGCAAGUCGAACGAAACUUCUUUAUCACCGAGUGCUUGCACUCACCGAUAAAGAGUUGAGUGGCGAACGGGUGAGUAACACGUGGGCAACCUGCCCAAAAGAGGGGGAUAACACUUGGAAACAGGUGCUAAUACCGCAUAACCAUAGUUACCGCAUGGUAACUAUGUAAAAGGUGGCUAUACUACCGCUUUUGGAUGGGCCCGCGGCGCAUUAGCUAGUUGGUAGGGUAAAGGCUUACCAAGGCAAUGAUGCGUAGCCGAAUUGAGAGGUUGAUCGGCCACAUUGGGACUGAGACACGGCCCAAACUCCUACGGGAGGCAGCAGUAGGGAAUCUUCCACAAUGGGCGAAAGCCUGAUGGAGCAACGCCGCGUGGGUGAAGAAGGUCUUCGGAUCGUAAAACCCCGUUGUUAGAGAAGAAAGUGCGUGAGAGUAACUGUUCACGUUUCGACGGUAUCUAACCAGAAAGCCACGGCUAACUACGUG
rnacentral:rRNA from 1 species